GUGCUCACUUCAGCAGCACAUAUACUAAAAUUGGAAUGAUACAGAGAGGAUAAGCAUGGGCCCUGCACAAGGAUGAUGUGCAAAUUCCUGAAGCGUUCCAUAUUUUU
ensembl:snRNA U6 U6 spliceosomal RNA